GCUGGCGGCAGGCCUAACACAUGCAAGUCGAGCGGAAACGACAACAUUGAAUCUUCGGAGGAUUUGUUGGGCGUCGAGCGGCGGACGGGUGAGUAAUGCCUAGGAAAUUGCCUUGAUGUGGGGGAUAACCAUUGGAAACGAUGGCUAAUACCGCAUAAUGCCUACGGGCCAAAGAGGGGGAUCUUCGGACCUCUCGCGUCAAGAUAUGCCUAGGUGGGAUUAGCUAGUUGGUGAGGUAAUGGCUCACCAAGGCGACGAUCCCUAGCUGGUCUGAGAGGAUGAUCAGCCACACUGGAACUGAGACACGGUCCAGACUCCUACGGGAGGCAGCAGUGGGGAAUAUUGCACAAUGGGCGAAAGCCUGAUGCAGCCAUGCCGCGUGUAUGAAGAAGGCCUUCGGGUUGUAAAGUACUUUCAGUUGUGAGGAAGGGGGUAACGUUAAUAGCGUUAUCUCUUGACGUUAGCAACAGAAGAAGCACCGGCUAACUCCGUGCCAGCAGCCGCGGUAAUACGGAGGGUGCGAGCGUUAAUCGGAAUUACUGGGCGUAAAGCGCAUGCAGGUGGUUCAUUAAGUCUGAUGUGAAAGCCCGGGGCUCAACCUCGGAACUGCAUUUGAAACUGGUGAACUAGAGUGCUGUAGAGGGGGGUA
rnacentral:rRNA from 1 species